CGGUGCUCCACUCCAAGAACACAGUCGCUGAAGUUAAAGUUGACUAAUUGAUACAGAGGAAGAGUCAGACUACCACCUGGGUCAGCAAACUACCCAUGGAAAUGCCCGUAACUCCUAUGAAAGCCUUGUCAAAUAUGUGUCUUUUUUAAGUUCAUGGUACGGAGGAAGAGUCAGACUACCACCUGGGUCAGCAAACUACCCAUGGAAAUGCCCGUAACUCCUAUGAAAGCCUUGUCAAAUAUGUGUCUUUUUUAGGUUCAUGGUACGGAGGAAGAGUCAGACUACCACCUGGGUCAGCAAACUAACCCUGGAAAUGCCCACAACUCCUAUGAAAGCCUUGUCAAAUAUGUGUCUUUUUUAGGUUCAUGGUACAGAAGAAGCGUCAAACAACCACGUGGGUCAGAAAACUACCCAUGGAAAUGCCCGUAACUCCUAUGAAAGCCUUGUCAAAUACGUGUCUUUUUAGGUUCAUGGUACAGAAAAGGCGUCAAACUAACACCAGGGUCAGAAAACUACCCCUGGAAAUGCCCGUAACUCCUAUGAAAACCUUGUGAAAUGUGUCUUUUUAGGUUCAUGGUACGGAGGAAGAGUCAGACUACCACCUGGGUCAGCAAACUAACCCUGGAAAUGCCCGUAACUCCUAUGAAAACCUUGUGAAAUGUGUCUUUUUAGGUUCAUGGUACAGAGGAAGAGUCAAACUACCACCUGGGUCAGAAAACUACCCCUGGAAAUGCCCGUAACUCCUAUGAAAACCUUGUCAAAUGUGUGUCUUUUUUAGGUUCAUGGUACAGAGGAAGAGUCAAACUACCACCAGGGUCAGAAAACUACCCCUGGAAAUGCCCUUAACUCCUAUAAAAACCUUGUCAAAUGUGUGUCUUUUUUAGGUUCAUGGUACAGAGGAAGAGUCAAACUACCACCUGGGUCAGAAAACUACCCCUGGAAAUGCCCGUAACUCCUAUGAAAACCUUGUCAAAUGUGUGUCUUUUUUAGGUUCAUGGUACAGAGGAAGAGUCAGACUACCACCAGGGUCAGAAAACUACCCCUGGAAAUGCCCUUAACUCCUACAAAAACCAUGUCAAAUGUGUGUCUUUUUUAGGUUCAUGGUACAGAGGAAGAGUCAAACUACCACCUGGGUCAGAAAACUACCCCUGGAAAUGCCCUUAACUCCUAUAAAAACCUUGUCAAAUGUGUGUCUUUUUUAGGUUCAUGGUACAGAGGAAGAGUCAAACUACCACCUGGGUCAGAAAACUACCCCUGGAAAUGCCCUUAACUCCUACAAAAACCAUGUCAAAUGUGUGUCUUUUUUAGGUUCAUGGUACAGAGGAAGAGUCAAACUACCACCUGGGUCAGAAAACUACCCCUGGAAAUGCCCGUAACUCCUAUGAAAACCCUUGUCAAAUAUGUAUAGGCUACUUGGGCGCCGAAAUGUUAAAGAAAAUGACUCGAAUAUACACAACACAUACAGAAAAAGAUCAUAGUUACA